GCGCUGUUGGUGUACCGGUAACAUGGCUGCCUUCCAUUAAAGUGGUCCAGCAUUCGUAGUGGGUUCGACUCCCGCACAGCGCA
rfam:Rhodosporidium toruloides NP11 unplaced genomic scaffold Scaffold3, whole genome shotgun sequence.